AACUGGCGGGUCUAUCAUCAGUGAGCGAGAUCUUCGGAGUCUAGCGGCGGACGGGUGAGUACACGUGGGCAACCUGCCUGUAAGACUGGGAUACACCGGGAAACCGGUGCUAAUACCGGAUAAUCCUUUUCCUCUCAUGAGGAAAAGCUGAAAGACGGUUUCGGCUGUCACUUACAGAUGGGCCCGCGGCGCAUUAGCUAGUUGGUGAGGUAACGGCUCACCAAGGCGACGAUGCGUAGCCGACCUGAGAGGGUGAUCGGCCACACUGGGACUGAGACACGGCCCAGACUCCUACGGGAGGCAGCAGUAGGGAAUCUUCCACAAUGGACGAAAGUCUGAUGGAGCAACGCCGCGUGAGCGAUGAAGGCCUUCGGGUCGUAAAGCUCUGUUGUUAGGGAAGAACAAGUACCGGAGUAACUGCCGGUACCUUGACGGUACCUAACCAGAAAGCCACGGCUAACUACGUGCCAGCAGCCGCGGUAAUACGUAGGUGGCAAGCGUUGUCCGGAAUUAUUGGGCGUAA
rnacentral:rRNA from 1 species